rnacentral:rRNA from 1 species
CUACGGGCCGCAGCAGUGAGGAAUAUUGCACAAUGGGGGGAACCCUGAUGCAGCAACGCCGCGUGGAGGGUGACGCAUUUCGGUGUGUAAACUCCUUUUAUAUGUCAAGAAAAUGACGGUAGCAUAUGAAUAAGCACCGGCUAACUCCGUGCCAGCAGCCGCGGUAAUACGGAGGGUGCAAGCGUUACUCGGAAUCACUGGGCGGAAAGGACGCGUAGGCGGGUUGGAAGGUCAGGUGUGAAAUCCUACAGCUUAACUGUAGAACUGCACUUGAAACUUCUAAUCUAGAGUAUGGGAGGGGGAGAUGGAAUUAGUGGUGUAGGGGUAAAAUCCGUAGAUAUCACUAGGAAUACCUAAAGCGAAGGCGAUCUCCUGGAACAUUACUGACGCUAAGGCGUGAAAGCGUGGGGAGCAAACAGGAUUAGAUACCCCAGUAGUC